rnacentral:rRNA from 1 species
AAAAACAUGUCUAUUUGGUAGAUAAAAAUAGUCUGACCUGCUCACUGAUAAAUAAAUUAAAGAGCCGCGGUAUAUUGACCGUGCAAAGGUAGCAUAAUCAUUAGUUUUUUAAUUGGAAACUUGUAUGAAUGGUUGGACAAAAGAAAAGCUGUCUAUAUUACAAAUAUUGAAUUUAACUUUUAAGUGAAAAGGCUUAAAUAAUUUAAAGGGACGAUAAGACCCUAUAAAACUUUAUAUGUUAGUAAAAUUUAAUUAAAUUAUAAAAGUUUAAUUUUACGUUGUAUUUUAUUGGGGCGAUAAAGGUAUAAUUUUUAUAACUGCUUAUAAUAGAAACAAUGAUAUUUGAGUAAUUAAUAAAUGAUCCUUUUUAAAGAUUAAAAGACUAAGUUACUUUAGGGAUAACAGCGUAAUUUCUUUUGAGAGCCCAUAUCGAAAAAGAAGAUUGCGACCUCGAUGUUGAAUUAAAAUAUCUAUUAAAGGCAGCCCUUUAAUAAGAAGAUCUGUUCGAUCUUUAAAUUUUUACAUGAUUUGAGUUCAAACCGGCGUGAGCCAGG